rnacentral:rRNA from 1 species
AAAGCCCCGGGCUCAACCUGGGAACGUGCAUCCAAAACGUGGCGAGCCUAGAGUAUGGCAGAGGGUGGUGGAAUCUCCUGUGUAGCGGUGAAAUGCGUAGAUAUAGGAAGGAUCACCAGUGGCGAAGGCGACCACCUGGGCUAAUACUGACACUGAGGUGCGAAAGCGUGGGGAGCAAACAGGAUCAGAUACCCUGGUAGUCCACGCCGUAAACGAUGUCGACUCGCCGUUGGGAUCGCUGAGAUCUUAGUGGCGCAGCUAACGCAUAAAGUUGACCGCCUGGGGAGUACGGCCGCAAGGUUUAGACUCAAAUGAAUGCGAC